UUUACGUUUUUGUUGGAGUCUUUUUCUUUCAUUUUGUUGCUACGAGAAUAGUAACCAAAUGUGAGGUUGAGGAAGAUGAAGUCUCUCCCAUACCAUAUAAUUGCUCAAUGCACCCAUACGAGGCUUUCUUCUUUGGGCCUAGAGCAUUUUCCUAGUUACACCCUCAAUUUUCAGUCUGUUUUUGUCUUUUGUCUUUUUUUUACUUAUUAUUUUCUUAUUAUUGCUUUAUUUUUUUUUAUUUUUUUUUAGUUUUUAAAUACUUUUACCUCUUGCAUUGAUAGUGCGCUUCUCCCUUCUAUUAUAUAUUUUAUCUUAUUUUUUAUUUUUUAUUAUUGAUUUAUUUUUUAGUUUAUUUUUUUUUGUAUUAUUAGUGUGCCCCCGUCCAUCCGACUUCUCGUCAUCACUCAAAACUUUCAAUGCGACUUUCACAAACCUUUUCUCAACCAAAAACCUGAAAACAUCUAAAAAUAUCAAACCCUCUUGUAAAUAAGAUGGAAAAGGAGCGUGGUGAAUACCACUAGUUCCUGAUGCUAGGAUUCGAGAUGUAUAUAUCGCCCAUCCAAGCUCUCACCAUCAUUCAAAAUACAUCCAACACAUCAAACUCUUUUCUCGCCAUCACACAGUU
rnacentral:lncRNA from 1 species